rnacentral:rRNA from 1 species
UAUUGCGCAAUGGGGGGAACCCUGACGCAGCAACGCCGCGUGCAGGAAGAAGGUCUUCGGAUUGUAAACUGCUGUCGCAAGGGAAGAAGACAGUGACGGUACCUUGUGAGAAAGUCACGGCUAACUACGUGCCAGCAGCCGCGGUAAUACGUAGGUGACAAGCGUUGUCCGGAUUUACUGGGUGUAUAGGGCGCGUAGGCGGAUAAGCAAGUCAGUCGUGAAAUACCGGGGCUCAACCCCGGGGCUGCGAUUGAAACUGUUUACCUUGAGUAUCGGAGAGGAAAGCGGAAUUCCUAGUGUAGCGGUGAAAUGCGUAGAUAUAGGAGGAACACCAGUGGCGAAGGCGGCUUUCUGGACGACAACUGACGCUGAGGCGCGAAAGUGUGGGGAGCAAACAGG